CCCUGUCUGUCUCACUUCACACCUGGCCGUCAUCUGCAAUCAUGCUCACCUGGUCGUCAUCUCCAAUCAACUCCCCUUCAUAAACCCUUGGAUUCCCUGCUGUCGGUGCCAGAUCGUACUUCGCUCUACAGUGUUAUCCGGAUCACGCAAUCCAGCUCGCCUGCCUCACCCUCCCCCCGGCUUCCGCGUCCUCUACCUGCUCCUCCACCUCAUUCAAUAAACCCUCUUGCAUCAAUUCAA